GUCCUUCAUCUCUUGUGGCUCAGUUGGUAGAGCACGGCGCUUGCAACGCCAGGGUUGUGGGUUCAAUUCCCACGGGGGGCA